GGCGUAGCGGAAGCGUGAUAUUGAAAAGUAUAAACAAAUUUGGCAAGAAAAAAAAAUUAAAAAUGAGACAGAGAUUUAACGUGGUUCACCCAAAAAUAUAGGCUACGUCCACGGACGACGAAGAGCAAAAAUAUCACUAUAAUGAAAAGUGUACAGCAAAACCUCACUGGGCGUAUGCACUACGAGGAUAUAAUUUUUGUGUAUCACUCGUGAUAUAUGUGGAGUAAAAAGAAAGAAAAGUAUUUUCUCUCUUGUGUCUGUCUUUAUUGCUGCCUGAAAUGAAGAACACAAAUGUUAUAUUUAUAGCAGGCGAAGGAAGUGUUGUGCCACCAGUCACGGAAGAAAGCAAUGGAGUAGUAAACAAUUGCUGCUAUGAUUUUGAAAAAAUCCAGUCAACAAUUGUUUGCUUGGCUGCUGUGUGCUGCUGCUGUGUGUGCUGAAUGUCAACAGAU
rnacentral:lncRNA from 1 species